rnacentral:rRNA from 1 species
UACGAAGGGGACUAGCGUUGUUCGGAAUUACUGGGCGUAAAGCGCAUGUAGGCGGCCAAGCAGGUCGGAUGUGAAAGCCCUCGGCUCAACCAAGGAAGUGCAUUCGAAACCGCAUGGCUCGAGUCCCGGAGAGGAUGGUGGAAUUCUCGGUGUAGAGGUGAAAUUCGUAGAUAUCGAGAGGAACACCGGCGGCGAAGGCGGCCAUCUGGACGAGGACUGACGCUGAGAUGCGAAAGCGUGGGGAGCAAACAGG